CCCCCCCCCCCACUGUCCUGGACCAAGUACAGCUCUCAGCGACCCCUUGGAGGCCUUGUGGCCUGGCGGGGACCCACCCUCAUCACCUGUCAGUAACAACUGCCCUCCUCGGAUUCCAGGUUUCAUUGAGAGUUCUUUCAGGUUCUGGAAUGGCCCCCUUCCCUCCCACUGGCCCUCUGGAGAGCCCUCUUGGCCUUCUGGAGCCAGCAACCCCAGGUUCCCUCAUCUUCCCCUGGCCCCUGAAGGUCCCCCUUAAAACACUCCCCCCCACCCAACUGGGACGGCGGGGGGCGGGGUGCUUCCUGUCCUCUUAUGUCUUGGCUUCAGCAGCACAGGCCAGACCCAGAAGUAGGGCCAGGGAGCCGUGUGAAUGGCUGACAGGACAAGGACAAGGACGCGGCAGGGGCAGCGAGGGAUGGGGGGAUGGGGGACGGCAGGCCCCCGGGGAAAAGAUCCAGAACAGGAGGGGGGUCCUGCUCAGGUGAGAAUGUGGAGAGAAGACACCUAACUGGUGCCUGUCCUCCUGCUCAAAUCCACGAGGGACCGACCGUCUUCCCCGUCACCUCCCUGCCCAGCGUCGCUCCAGUCACACCAGCCUCCUCAGGGCCUUUGCGCUGGCUGUUCCUUCAGCCUGGAAUGCCUUUUGCCCGCACCUCCCUCCUUCUCAGAGAGGCCCUCGGUGCUAGAAGAAUCCUAACCAGCGUACUGGUUCCUGCGGCUGCUCGAACAAAGCCAGUGCCUUAAACAACACACAUUUACUCUUUACGCUUGUGGCCGGAAGUCCGGACCCUCACAAUUGCCUCGGGCACCAGGAUAAUGCAGGAUAAUUUCCCUGCGUUCAGGUCAGUGGAUUAGCGACCUUUGCAGCCCUUUGUCACCUACCGGAGCAUAUUGGCAAUUCCGGGGGUCAUCUUUUGGGGCAAUUGAUGGGGGAGAAUUGAGAAUCAAGAAAACUUGUUUUCUCCUCAGCACUUAUCCCAUCGAUCAUUCUAGAAAUGUUUAUUUGUUUUGAGAGAGAGUGAGCGAGCUGGGGAGGGGCAGAGAGAGGGAAGAGAGAGAAUCCCAUGCAGGCUCCACGCUGAGUGUGGCAGCUGACACAGGGCUCGAUCCCAUGACCAUGAGAUCAGGACCUGGGCCGAAAAUCAAGUCGGAGGCUCGACUGACCGAGCCACCCAGGCGCCCCACUGAACAUUCUACAUUGUUCCCGGUCUCUCCCGCCAGCUCACAAGGAUGGGUCUUUGUGCUGUUUUCUGCUGUGCUACAGAUGAGGAAACUGAGGCCCAGGGAGGUGGGCAACUCCUACGAGCUGGCGAAGCCGGGAAGUGGUGGAGAGUCGGCGCCUGGGCUCCGGGCUCUCGGCAGGGCCCGCCUGGCUGACGGCCUCUCUGGUAAACGGGAGUGACCGGAGGCGAGGGGCCCCCCAGGCGGACGCGGGCCAGGCCGGGAGCAAAUCAGCAGAUUUAUUGAGGCAGCAGCGGCACUGGGGGGCAGGGGGUGCGGAAAAGGGGCUGGGCCUCCGCGGGGUCCUUCCCUGGCGUUCAGGAGCCAGACGUGGAUGCACGGGGACCGCACGGACGGUGGCCUGGUUCUCUCCUCCGCGGGGUCAGUCUGUCCGCAGCCAGCAGCCCUUUUCCUCCACCUCCUUGGUCACCACCAGCAGCACCUCGCACAGGCCCUGAGCCAGUGCCCCCGCCAGGAAGGCCCUGGGCAGAGAAGCGAGGAGACUGAGGCCCGGGGGCCCGCGCGCUGCCUCCUGGGGUGGGGGAGUCGGUCGCCGAGCCCCAGCCCGAGUCGCCUCCCCCUCACCUGACGCCGUCCUCGUCCCCCAGGGCCUCAGGCGCCCGCAGCUUGGAGUCCAGGUUGUAGUAGACGCCGUCCACCUGGCGGAGGGCCACCCAGUGCCGCCGGCGGAGCGGCAGGGACAGCAGCCCCAGAGACAUGGGUGAGGGCAGGUUCAGGAUCAGUCCCAGCACUUGGGGCAGGGCCAGCUGGGACAGGGGCCUGUGCGGGAGGGGUGGGGACGCCACCGUCUGGGUCCAGUGCUCAGCGAGCACCUGCCGGCCCAACGUUACUGAGCUCACGGGACCCAGGCUGGUGCGGCAGCAGUGGCCCCCCGAGCCUGCCCAAGGACUCUCCUCGGCGCCCCCUUAGUCUCCUCCCACUCGCCCACCACCCAGGCACCCAAACUCCCAGCCGUCUAACAACCACCCCCGCACCCAGCUGCCCGUGAACUGUCCACCCGAACAUCAUCCACCUAAUGACGCAACCGACCAGCCAGCCACCAACUCGGCUUACUCACCAUCCUCCCGAGUCCGCAUCCACUCGGAACCCGUCCAUCCGUCCAAUUAACUACUCAACCGCCUAUUUGCUAUCCUUUAUUCACUCAACCACUCCUCUGCCCAUCCACACGCCCCCCCCCCCCCCCACCAACCACCUACUCAACACGUCCAACUACCCUUUCACCAUCCACUCGGUCACCGGAUGACCAUCUCCCAACCCGUCGGCCUGCCCUCCAUCCAGCACCCACCCGUGCCGACCUUCCCCCCGUCUGCCCCUUCUUUCUUCCCUCCCGCCCACCGGUUCCCCUCCUGCUGUCCCACCGCACCCAUGUGCCAGGCUCAGCACACAUGAUGAAGCGCUUGGGGUCCCACCUCCUUCGGUCCCACCACACGGUGGCCAGGCCCAGCCCCUGCAGGGCGGCCAUGAUCACGUUGACGUCAUAGUUGCCGGUGCCCAGGAGGCUGCGAUGGGGAUUCAGCCGGGAGUCUGGGGCCAACCUGGGCGGGGGAGGGUCAGAGCCUGAGACGGGGCCCCUGCAAAGGUCUCAUCCUCCCCACAACGCAGGAGAGCACGGGGCCCUCGAAUCACCCAGCCUUUGGACUCUUCCCUUUCCGCAGCCGCGUGGCUCAUCAGCCCCAAGCCUGAUUCCUCCUGUCCCCGACUCUCUCUGCCCCGUCCCGUAACCACAUUUCCCCCCACUCAGGUCUCCUCCUCCUCCACCUGGAUCCUCAUCCAGCCUCCAGCCUCCCCUCCGAUCCCAGGGGCUCUUUCCACACCUGACACUGACCCCACCGCUCCCCUGUUCCCUGCCCUCCCUGGUGCCUUGUCACCCCAGGAUAAAGUCCUAGUCCCUCAGCUGGCCUCCUAGCCUCAGUCCCGCCCCACCCCCUCCCAGCCACCUGUCCCCAACCACAUCUCCUGUGCUCCCCUCUCAGUCUUUCCUCCUGCUAUCCCCCAGCUCAGGGGGCCCACCCCGCCACCACUUGGCUCUCUGGGUCCUGCCUUCUCCAAACAGUGGCACCUUUGUUCUUUCUCUGGGCCCUUGGUGGGCAGGGCAGGGGGAGGGGCCGGAGAGGAAAAGUCUGUGUAUUAUUUUCCUGUGCAUCUGUUUCCCUGGCCUCCCUCAGGGCACGGCUCACACUGGACUCAUCUCUGGGUCUCCAGCACGGCCUUGGUGUGAAAGAGUUGAUGGAUCCCUGUCGUGAAUGACAGAGAUGAAUAAAUUCUGCGAUAUUCAGUU